rnacentral:sRNA from 1 species
AGAGACCGUCCCAUGGAGGAGUCACUGCUACUCUUUGAGGUGGGGUCCUAGAGGAGCAUCUGGGUUUGGGUGGGCCAAGGUGCUGAGAAUGAGAUGCUCCUGUGCUUAGAGACAGCCUGAGUCGUUGUUCCCCUCAGGCAAUGCGCAAAGGCAAGUUUUCAGAGGGCGAGGCCACACUACGGAUGAAGCUGGUGAUGGAGGAUGGCAAGAUGGACCCUGUAGCCUAUAGAGUCAAGUAUACACCACACCACCGCACAGGGGACAAAUGGUGCAUCUAUCCCACCUACGACUACACACACUGCCUCUGUGACUCCAUCGAGCACAUCACUCACUCACUCUGCACCAAGGAAUUCCAGGCCCGACGCUCUUCCUACUUCUGGCUUUGCAAUGCACUGGACGUCUAUUGCCCUGUGCAGUGGGAGUAUGGCCGUCUCAACCUGCACUAUGCUGUUGUCUCUAAGAGGAAGAUCCUCCAGCUUGUAGCAACUGGUGCUGUGCGGUAGGUGCGGCUGUUUGGCUUAUGAAAGGUUAAUGGCAUGUGCUCCCAAAGGCCUUCUCACCACCUUCUUAUCCACAGGGACUGGGAUGACCCACGGCUCUUUACACUCACAGCCCUGCGACGGCGGGGCUUCCCACCUGAGGCCAUCAACAACUUCUGUGCCCGGGUGGGAGUGACUGUGGCACAGACCACAAUGGAGCCACAUCUUCUAGAAGCCUGUGUGCGUGAUGUACUGAAUGACACAGCCCCACGAGCCAUGGCUGUGCUGGAGUCACUACGGGUCAUCAUCACCAACUUUCCCGCUGCCAAGUCCUUGGACAUCCAGGUGCCCAACUUCCCAGCUGAUGAGACCAAAGGCUUCCAUCAGGUUCCCUUUGCACCCAUUGUCUUCAUUGAGAGGACUGACUUCAAGGAGGAGCCAGAGCCAGGAUUUAAGCGCCUGGCUUGGGGCCAGCCUGUGGGCCUGAGGCAUACAGGCUACGUCAUUGAGCUGCAGCGUGUUGUCAAGGGCCCCCGUGGUUGUGUAGAGAGUCUGGAGGUGACCUGCAGACGGGCAGAUGCUGGAGAGAAGCCAAAGGCCUUUAUUCACUGGGUGUCACAGCCUUUGAUGUGUGAGAUUCCAGCACAAGAACCCUGAAGAUCCUACUGAGGUGCCUGGUGGAUUUUUAAGUGACCUGAACCUGGUAGGUUCGUGAGGUUUGGGGUGAGGGAGGUAGGCCUCCCUGGUUGGAUGGUUGCCUGAGUUCCCUGCCUGCAGGCAUCACUACACGUGGUGGAGGCAGCAUUAGUGGACUGCUCUGUGGCCCUGGCAAAACCCUUUGACAAGUUCCAGUUUGAGCGUCUUGGAUACUUCUCCGUGGAUCCAGACAGCCAUCAGGGAAAGCUUGUCUUUAACCGAACUGUCACACUGAAGGAAGACCCGGGAAAGGUGUGAGCUGGAAACACUGAACCUACCUCAUCCUCCUGGAGGGUGGGGCUACCCUCGCUACCCCAAAUUCCAUGUCAAUAAAGAACAGCUAAAU